GUAGUUGAACCUUGGGCCUGGCUGGCCGGUCCGCCUCACCGCGUGCACUGGUCCGGCCGGGCCUUUCCCUCUGUGGAACCCCAUGCCCUUCGCUGGGCGUGGCGGGGAAACAGGACUUUUACUUUGAAAAAAUUAGAGUGCUCCAGGCAGGCCUAUGCUCGAAUACAUUAGCAUGGAAUAAUGAAAUAGGACGCGCGGUUCUAUUUUGUUGGUUUCUAGGACCGCCGUAAUGAUUAAUAGGGACAGUCGGGGGCAUCAGUAUUCAAUAGUCAGAGGUGAAAUUCUUGGAUCUAUUGAAGACUAACUACUGCGAAAGCAUUUGUCAAGGAUGUUUUCAUUAAUCAGGAACGAAAGUUAGGGGAUCGAAGACGAUCAGAUACC
rnacentral:rRNA from 2 species